rnacentral:tRNA from 1 species
AAGAUUUUAGUUAAAAUAUAACACUGCCUUGUCAAGGCAAAAUUACGGGUUAAACCCCCGUAUAUCUUA